rnacentral:rRNA from 1 species
AAAACCUCGUGGACGUGUGUUGCGUAUCACUCUGAGCGAGGCUUCUUCGGUGACGUGUCUUGCGUACACGAGAUAGUACACGGUGAGCUACCGGCCGACUGAAGCCAGCAGUCCCUAGAAACUGGAUAAUCCCGUUGGGGUUCAACUGUUCAACAAUUCCGCGUCCCAUCGUCGGCUCGUCCCUCUCUCGAACCACCCAUCGCCCCAGCCGUCCUAAUCUGUCCUCUCAAGCCGUAGCCCCGAGUCGACUCCCCUUCUCAUCCCAAUUUACCAAACCCUAACCCUAACCCUCCUCAUCCAAUUUAUCUCACCCAGCGCGCGCGCGGCCGCCGUGGCGGGCGACCGAGGAUGCCGUCCGGGUCUACGCAGUUCCGGUACACACAGACGCCGUCCAAGGUGCUGCACCUACGGAACAUGCCGUGGGAGAGCACUGAGGAGGAGCUCGUCGAGCUCUGCAAACCAUUCGGCAGGGUUGUGAACACCAUGUGCAACGUCGGAGCCAACCGCAACCAGGCCUUCGUGGAGUUCGCAGAUCAAAACCAGGCAAUUUCAAUGGUUUCAUAUUAUGCUUCAUCUUCAGAACCUGCCCAAGUUCGUGGUAAAACUGUAUAUAUCCAGUAUUCAAAUAGGCAAGAAAUUACAAACAAUAAAGGCACUGGUGAUUCUUCUGGCAAUGUCCUGCUUGUCACCUUUGAAGGUGUCCAGCCUAAUGAUGUUAGCAUAGAUGUUAUCCAUUUGGUAUUUUCUGCUUUUGGGUUUGUUCACAAGAUAGCAACGUUUGAGAAAGCCGCUGGUUUCCAGGCACUUAUCCAAUAUACUGAUGCUCCAACUGCUCUAGAGGCAAAAAAUUCGUUAGACGGAAGAAGCAUACCGAGGUAUCUACUGGCUGAACACGUCAGCAUUUGUCACCUGCGCAUAACAUUUUCUGCGCACAAAGAUUUGAAUAUUAAAUUUCAAUCACAUCGCAGCAGGGAUUACACAAAUCCUUAUCUUCCUGUUAAUCCAACUGCAAUCGAGGGAAUCACACAGCCCAUAUUAGGCUCUGAUGGGAAGAUUAAGGAGCCAGAGAGCAAUGUACUUUUAGCAUCAAUCGAGAACAUGCAGUAUGCUGUGGGAGUGGAUGUUCUACACACUGUGUUCUCUUCUUUUGGUGCUGUCCGAAAGAUUGCAAUGUUCGAGAAGAAUGGUGGAAUGCAGGCUCUAAUUCAGUAUCCAGGUAUGUGCGAACAACUGUAAACCUCACCAUAUCACAUUAUCUUUAGGAUAUGCCAUGAUAUGGCUACACCUUGAUUUAGGGGAUGUAGACUGGCCCCGAUGCUCCUUUGCUGUAAUUUUUUCACUCUGUUGUUAACUCCUGACAAGCCAAGUCCAUAGGUGAUACUGAACUCUGUGGACAUCUUAAUGAUGCUGUGUUGAUUAUUGAGUUAAUAUUUGUUUAUGCGUCAAAGUUUCUGACUUCAGCAGAGAGGUCUUGGAGUCCCUGAAGACUUAAAAUGGACAUCUACAACUAUCCACAGCUAUAAAGUUACCUUUCGUAAUUUCUUAUUCUUUUCUUACCGUUUCCUGUAAGCAUAUUUACUUUCUUAGUAGAGGUUUGGUACAGUCAUGUCUUCCUGUCAUCUUAGUGUGGAUUGUCUUCCUCUUGGCACCCUGUUCUUCUGUCAGACGCCAGCUGCCUUAAUUGUUACCUUUUUGGAUAGAGUAGCAGUCACCAUGAGGAUGUAUCCAGUGCUUUCUAGCCUGACAGUGACUGGUGUGGUUGGUCCUAAAAUUGGUGCAAAUGGUCAGAAAAAAUUCUUAGAAAUUGUUGAAAGAAAAUCAAUCUACCAUGCCACAGAAUUUCAAACCUACAUUUUGGUCUACACAUUGGAGAAACCACUGAGACAAACUGCUGAACUUGACAAAGGAAAGAGAAAACACUGUUGACUGGAAUUUGUCUUUUUCUUCUUCUUCUCUCCUAAGGUAACAGUUGAAUUUAUGUAGAUUGCUUGAUUUUAUAUCAUUCUUGUGGUGGGUUUUGUUACGCCAUUUGUAUUUUAGGAACAUAAGGAAGUGAAUUAUGGGCUAACAGUCACAUCCUCUAGCUGCAACCUCUAUUGAGAGCACGUCUUAUACAUCUGUAGUCCAAAUGAGCAUCUCAGCGUCUUAUGUGUGAUCAAUUUAUCUAUCCUGUCUUUGAUGUUUCUUCGGAAGUGAGACAAAACAGACGGCAUUGCACAUUACAGUGUAUUUGUAAUCUAAAUGUUUAACUUGAGAGAAUCCAUAUUCAUAUUCACUACAACUUCUAGUUGUUCAGAAGUACUGCUAGAGCUAACAGAGUCCGUCUUCGCAGAUAUAACAACAGCAGGAGUUGCUAAACAAGCUCUGGAGGGGCAUUGCAUAUAUGAUGGUGGUUACUGUAAGCUUCAUCUGUCAUACUCUCGUCAUACUGAUCUGAAUGUGAAGGCACAUGACGAGAGAAGCAGAGACUACACCGUCUCGGAUCCUAGUGCUCAGGUACAAGCUGCAGGUCAAGCCCCUGGUCUAAGCACUCCUGGAGCAGCAUGGCAAAGCACCACGCCUGCUGCUUUUUAUGGAAGCUCAGCAGGACCGACCUCUAUCGGACAAGCGCCAGCCUGGAAUCCUAACAUGCAGCGAGGGGCAUUUGCACCUGCAUCAACCUCGUACCCUACCCAAUUAUUGAUGGCAAACCCAGGCCCGCACUUUCCAGCAGUCGGAUCAAGCUCUGGUGCUCCUCCGAUGUUGUACCAAGCUUCGCAGCAGAUGGCACAUUAUGGCACAGCCCCUGCUGCUCUGCCUCAUGCAGCCUUGUCUGGCGAACCGAUGUACUUCCCAAAAUGAGCUAUUCAUCCAAUAGAGCAGUUGCCUAUGCUUUGUGCAGCACCUCUGGUCUUCAAUUUUUGGAACUGCACUGUAAUGCCGAUCUGUUUUUCUUGGUACUUGUGAGACCCCUGUGGCAAAUGUACCUGUCUGGCUGUUGGUGCCUGUAAACUGCACAACAAAAUGGAAAAUUACUCGAGCCAUGUCAGUUCAAUCCAAAACCUGAUGUUCUUUCUGCGCUUGAUAAUUUCUUGGUACAAGGCACCAACAAUUAAGUUUGACUAUACCAGGGUGGUGUAUGCCAUACUGGAAUUUGUUUUUGGCCAUGUCUGGUUGCCGGUUGGUUUCUUCUCCAUGAACAAAGAAUGCCGGUUGGUUUCUUCUCCAUGAACAAAGAAUGUUACUCCCUCCGUGCACUUCUACAAGUUGUUCCAGACAACUGAAAAUGGGCUGCUUUUCACGUUGUUACAAUGUCUUCAACAUCUUAUAAAAGUGAACAGAGGAAAUACAACACCAG